rnacentral:lncRNA from 1 species
AUGUUGAAAUAGAAAUUAAAAUAUAAUAUAUUAAAACACAAUACAAUGGUACUUUGUUUAACGAUGAUAAGGAUUAUCCUGAAACGGAUUAUCGUUGUUAAUCAAAACCAUCAUUAUAUCUGAGACUGUUAUUUACCAAGGCCACAUUGUAUAUUAAAAGGAUUAGAUAUAUAACAAUUAACUAAUGCUAUAAAACUUAAUACUUUUAGUUCAUUUGUAUUGUUUCUACAUAUUUUUGAUAAAAAAAAAAGAUAGUUUUAUAACUUUUAUUACCGUUCAGACAAUCUUAAUCGAUGACAUAGUGGAAAGUAAAUAUGUUGAUAAUGGUCUAGAAGUUAAAAAUCUUCAAAAUCAUUUACAAGAUACUGAGUCAAAUAUAACAAAUAUGAACUCUCAGUUGAAAAAAAAAGAUGAAGAAAUUGAGGAAAUGAAAAGUCAAAUAAAUUGUCUGAAAAAGGAAUUUAUGGAGACACAUGAAGCAUUAUCCAUAGAAAUAACAAAAAAAGAUAAGUUAAUAACAUCUUUGAACCAA